rnacentral:ncRNA from 1 species
UAACAAUAUUUAAACACAUGGUAUUUUAGGAGUUCUGGUGAGUUGAUGUAAAUUUUAGCGAGUAAGUUAAAGACUUAGUUGCUGGGUUUAUUGUGGCGUAAUUUUUUUAAUAUAAUGCUAAAUGUAUUCACUAAGCACACCAGUGUUGGAGAUUGGUUAAUAAAUUAAAGUUUGCUCCAGUAAGUAGUUAAAUAGGUCUGGUAAAGUUUGUGCCAGCCACCGCGGUUAGACAAACGGAUCAAGUUAAGAUUUGUUCAGUAAAAAAGGGGGUUAAAAAUAUAAAUAUAGGGAAAUCUGCUUUUUCUAUAAAGGUGAAAUUUGUAUAGGGAGGGUUAGUUUUUUGUUUCCUGUUUUUGAAUCCCCGAAAGUUUAGCGUAAGACCGGGAUUAGAUACCCCGUUAUUUAUUCUGUAAACUUUAAUUCGUUGUAAUUUACUUGGGUAUUACGGGCUGCAGGGCACUGUUGUGUCUAGCAAGUGGCUUAAAACUCAAAAAACUUGGCGGUGCCUUAAUUCUUUCCGGGGGAACCUGUCCUUUAAUCGAUGGUCCACGAUUUAGCUUACCUUAUUUUGAAUAUUAAUCUUAUAUAUUAAUACAGCUUGUAUACCGUCGUCGUCAGAUUACCUUUAAGAGAUUAGAAGUUGUCGGGAGGAAACUGCCCUAUAGGUUGCUUCAUGUUAUGGGGCAGCUUAUAGUUCUUAAUUCUAGAUGUCAGAUCAAGGUGCAGCUUAUGAUAGGGGAGAGAUGGGUUACAAUAGCAAUUUGCUAAGACGGAUUUCACUUUGUAAUAAGUGAGUAUGAAGGUGGACUCGGGAGUAAUAUAAUUAUAAGUAGAGAGUUUUUGUGAAAAUUGGUGCUAAGGUGCGUACAAAUCGCCCGUCGCUCUCGUCGAUAAGAUGAGAUAAGUCGUAACAUAGUGAGGGUACCGGAAGGUGUUCUGGGGAUAAAAUAUAUUGAG